rnacentral:rRNA from 1 species
UACGGGGGGGGCAAGCGUUGUUCGGAAUUACUGGGCGUAAAGGGCCAGUAGGCGGCCAACUAAGUCCGACGUGAAAUCCCAAGGCUUAACCUUGGAACUGCGUCGGAUACUGGAUGGCUUGAAUUCGGGAGAGGGAUGCAGAAUUCCAGGUGUAGCGGUGAAAUGCGUAGAUAUCUGGAGGAAUACCGGUGGCGAAGGCGGCAUCCUGGACCGGCAUUGACGCUGAGUGAGCGAAAGCUAGGGGAGCAAACGGG